rnacentral:rRNA from 1 species
UACAGAGGGGGCAAGCGUUAUUCGGAAUUAUUGGGCGUAAAGGGCGCGUAGGCGGCGAUUCAAGUGACGGGUGAAAUCCCUCGGCUUAACCGAGGAACUGCCUGUCAGACUGGGUUGCUUGAGACCGGGAGAGGCGAGUGGAAUUCCCAGUGUAGCGGUGAAAUGCGUAGAUAUUGGGAGGAACACCAGUGGCGAAGGCGGCUCGCUGGACCGGAACUGACGCUGAGGCGCGCAAGCGUGGGGAGCAAACAGG